UGUGCGUCUUGCACAUGUACCCUGGAACUUAAAAUAACAUUAAAUUUUUUAAAAAAGUUUUUUAAAUUAUUAAUGACUGUUAACAUUUAUCAAAUGCUUCUUCUGAAUCAAUUAAGAUGAUCAUGAUUUUUUUCUCUUACUAGUUAAUGUGGUUAAUUAUAAUUUUCAAAUGUUAAACCAACCUCGCAGUCCUAGAGUAAACCCCAUUUGGUAAUUGUGUAGUAUCGUUUAAUAUCUAUAUCUAUAUUGCUGUUUUCUUGUAUAUAUUUUCAUGAGAGAGAUUGGCCUGUAGUCUUGAAAUGUCUUUGUCAUGUUUUGAUAGAGAGGUUAUGCUGACCUCUUUUCUAUUGUCUUUUUGUAUUGUCUGAAACAAUUUGUAUUUUGAGUGAGGUCAUCUUCGUCUCUCAAGACCAGCCCAGUUGCCAGCUGAAUACCACUGAAUGAACAACCAAACUGUCACUGGAGAUGAAGAGAGGGCCUUGGCCACUGUGCCAGGUGUGCCUGCUACAGUUCUUGGAAAACAGAGGCUGCUCAGUAGAGGAGGGUGAUAUAUCUUCCUGACAAAGCUCCUGCCAGGAGACGAUGUGCAUAACUCAGCCCUGAGCCUUUCUAUGAGCUCUGCCAAAUCCGACAGACAGGUAACAAAACACUGAAAAAAAAGUAAUGUCAGCCCAGCCUGGCGAGUGCCAACACCGCUCCCUUAAUUACUCUACCUAGUGACAAAAGCUAUUCAUCAAACUCGAAAUAAAGUGGUUUUAAAGUCAGAAAUUUAUGUGCCAGCCAGUGAGAGGCUGUAAUUUUGGGGGCAUUGGUUUAAAGCAACAUAAAGCAAGAUGAAAACAAAUUGGAGAGCCAGGUAACUUUUCAUUUACACAAUGGCACCAUCAGGUUUGUCUUUGGUUCUUUCUGAUUUUCUCACCAUGUCUUUCUCCCCACAUUCUAGCCAAAUAAAACUUUUGAUCCAGGCCAAGAUCCCAUCCUGAAGCCAAAAGGAAGAUUAAUUCAUUCUUGAUUUACUUAUUAAACAUUUGUUGUAUUAAAUAAGUAGAGUGAAAAGAAGGCCGAGUAAUCCUGGAGGAAUUUAUUUAUUCAACAAGCAUUGACUACCUACAAUGUGCCAGACAUCAACAAAAGGGCUAGGAAAAUGGUGGUAAACAAGACAGCAAAGAAAUGUUUUCUUAUGGAGCUCACAUAUGUAUACAGAAGAAAACGUAAAUACAUAAGAAGAUGUGGAUAGUGAUAAAUGAGAAUGAUGGGGGGUGGGCAGGGAAACACAAGAAGAGGCAUGUGGAAAUGUAAGCACUAGAGCAGCGGUCUACUUAGUGCAUCUGGUGAAUGGAAAAUGGGCCAGUGUGGCUGGUGUGGGAAAGAGUGGAAAUAGACAAGGUCGGAGAGGUUGACAGGGCCAGAUCAAGAAGGGCCUUUGAGCCAGAAUGAGGAGUGAGGAUUUCAUUCCAAGUACAGCAUAAGCCAAUGGAGAGUUUUAAGCACAGUGAUCAUGUGACCAACACUUAUUGAAAGUGAAGGAUUUGAAAGGGUUUUUGCAAAAGAAGUCAUUAUCUAAUUCAAGAUUUAUUGAGCUUAAACAAUUAUUGAACCUUUGUUAUGUGCCAGGUGCUGACGACAGAAAGAUGAAUAAGAUGCUGACUCUGUCCUCGAGGUACAUACAAUCCAGUGGAGACACACAGUCUUGUGCAUGAAUAAGAACAACAUGGCAAUAAUGAGCAACAGUGCCUUUGUGGGGCAAAGUCAUGUGGUGCCACUUCCAUCUGUUUUAUUAACAAACAGAACAUGGUCUCUUAAAAGAGGCUUUUCUGGAUGUGCUUUUUGUUUUUUUAAGUGCUGAAAGGUAUGUACUACAUUCCAGAAGAUAAAUAUGCCCCUAGUUUGGCUCUCCCAGAGGAAGUGUGAGCAUUCUAAGAAGAGGCACAAUGGAACCAAACGUCUCAAGACUUGUGUUCUCUUCCCUACAUGGUUGGGAGACACUGAAAUGAGAGCAGGUGUUUUUGGGAAUCCAGUCUUCAUUUUCUUCAUCAGUAAAAGAGGGUUAAAAUAUUUGCUCUAUAAAGUCCCCUCUAGCUGUCUCAUUCUGAAACCCAAGGGAAGCUUUGUCUGGAUCAUUCAUUUAUAGGCUACAUUUUUGCCUUAGUAAUAGGGAAUACUAACUUUGAACCCCAAUAAAGCAAAAUGUUAUCCCCCAAGGAGAAUUAUAGUCUUCCCAUUAGUAGAUGUAUAUUGCAAAACUUGUACUUAAUUAUGAUUAUUUAAAAUUUUUGAAUAUUUGUAAAAAUUUUAUAGAAUUUUAAAAAUGCUUUUGAAUUUUAACAACUUGUAGAAUAUUUUUUUCUCUCUUGUCUAGCUAGGUACCUAUAUUAUAUCCUUGAUUUUGUCUCAUGUCCUGAAAAGCCUAAAAUGUGGAUCUUUAUCAAAAAAGAAUGCCAAAUCUUGUUUUAAAACUGGAAUGCUGUGGAACACAAUGUUUCCCAGAGAGAAAUCCCUGAAAUUCUAUUCCCACUGAUCUUCAAUGCAGAAGAGGUACCAUGGUCAAAUGAAGGCCCUGACAAUUCCUGAAGUAAUAACAAAUUCACGACCACAAUCAAAUGAACGUGCAAAUCCAUUUCACUGUGUUUAACUGAAUGUUUUUCAAUAUCUGUGAAGACAGACUGUUCAUUGGAAAACAAUCCUCAAAAUGCACAUUGGGCCCUGGCCGUGAGCUGGGUUCUGUCUGGCACACUCCUGUGUUCUCUAGGCAUGUACUUUUAUUCAAAGCCUCCAGCUGCAAUGGUAGGGAAGUCUAUGUUUGUUUCAAGUUAUAGUCUUUCCCCUUUGCUGGACCAUCUUGGCUGCAAACUGGGAGCCACACAUGCCGAAACAAUACAUUUUCCUCCAAAUCCUGGAACUGUUCCUUCCUAAAGUCCCAUGCCUGGAUGCCAGUGGAAGCAGUCUGGCCUCAGAUUGAGGAGAUCUGAAUCUACAGACAAUGUAAGACAUUGAAGUUGCUUUUCCUUAUAGAGGUGAGGGGUUUGAGUCAUGUCACUUACAUUCUCUUGCUUGGUUUCCCCUGUGACUCUAAGAACAUUGUGCAGCACACUGUUUCCCCCUCAGUUUCCUUGUGGGACAUCUGAACCCAAUGCAUGCAGGGGCUGAACUCUGUGAAGCUCUCACUGGGUUCAGAUGAGCAGGGCUUGUGCCCUAACUCCUCUCCCUCUCCAAGCACUACCAUUCCAAUAAUAACUGCUAUCUCUUUUGAACUUUGUGAACCACCUGAGCAGGCUAUGACACUAGCCUUUAGCAGUGGCCAGAGUGAUUCACAUGGCACCUGCAGGGCCAAACUCAUUGAGGGACAUUGUUAGACAGUGUUCAACAACUGAGGCAUAGAUAACAGUUGAAUGAGUGAACAAAUGCCAUUCAGCCCCAGAGAGUUGCCUCCUGGUAGGCAGGGACUUGUGCAGUGUGAGGAUUCCAGACUGCUGUCUGUGCAAGGGAUACUAUGUAGAGAGGAGGCAGGGCAGGAAAAUUGAACAAGCAUAGGUUUGAGUCCCAGACCCGCCAAGCAGCCAAAUAUCACCUUAAUCAAGUUUUAAAACUAUUCCUGGGGAUGAGUUUUCUUCUGGAAUACCUACCUUGCUAGAUUCUUGUGAUAAUGAAGGCUUCAUAAGGGAACUUAUGUGACAACUAUGAAGGAUCUGACACAUGGUAAGAACUCAACGGAUUACAGUGAUGAUAAAGCAGUUAUUAGGGUUGAAGGCCUCAUCAGCCAUCACCCCGUCGACUCCCUAUAUUCAAGAUGAGGUGACUUAAUCAAUAUGCCAGUCAGUGGGGGAACCCAGGUUUCCUCAGUCCUAGUUUAGUGCUCUGUUACACAUUUCUGCCUUCAAUUAUACAUUAAUUUCUGAAAGAAAAAUUGCAGUUCUAACCUUGAAUAUCCCUGUAAAUUCUGGCUUUGCAUUGAAACCCGAAGGAUGGGUACCUGGCCUCCAGUGUUUGUGGGCUGCUCAAUGGGACUUUUUAACCACAAAGCUGAGAACAUUGCCUUCUAGAAAGAGGGCAUCUCUCUUGCUGACACUCACAGGUUGCCAGGCUGGGACUUGGGAACACCAGGCUCACAAAUGCCCCAUACAUGUGAGCAGUUGGCUAGUCUAUGUCUCAUGCCUUGAGGAAGGUGAAAGAUCCUCGAGCCAUUGUAUUGCUGUCUCACCACACACCUGGCUGGAGCUAGACUUCUGGGGCUUGGCUGAAGUUUUGAAGGAACCACCUGAGGUGACUCAGGUAAGUAGCAACAAGGCAGGGAGGAGAGAAGCAGAGGCAGCAGAAGGGAAGAGAAGGACAAAGGCACUCGUAAUAGGCUGGAGCAGGCAAUGGUUUUCUUCCUCAAGAAAACAAUAUACACCAUGUCUAGAUUCCUUGCCAGACUAGCCUAUAAAAAUUGCAUUAAACACAUAAGCCUUAUGAGCUAUAAUACUCGUGAACUGUUAGAGUUACCGAAGUUUCUGUGAACUAGACUGAGUACCUCCUCACUUAGCAUUUUCAUAGUCUUAUUAUUAAUUACUUUAUUAUAAAAAUAUCAAAGUAUACUGAAGAGUAUAAAAUAAGUCUUUUCCCUUACUCUGUCCCCAAACUGAUCCAACUUCUAGAGUUUUCUGUUGAUAGUUUCUUAUAUAUCUUGCAGAUAUUUUCUCUAUAUACGUAACUGUAGUAGGUAUAAAGUCCACAAACAUCACUCAGAAAGUGACAUUUGAAGUGUCACUGGAGGAGGACAGGAAGUGAGCCAUGUAGCUAUAGGGGCUGGGGAAUUCCAAAAAGAGUGAACAGCAAGUGCUGAGCCCCUGGAUGAGAGUGGUGGGCUUGAGGAGUGGCAAACAGGCCCUGAGGCUGGAGUGCAGGGAGGAAGGAGGAGAUGUGUGGGUUGAGCUGGAGAACCCACAGGGCUCCGUCGGUCAGGGUAGGGGCUUGGGCUUUAACUGAGUAAAAUGAACAUCUGUGAGCAGAAGCACACCAUGAUCUGACUUAUUUUUAAUAGCAGGGAGAAUCAUUUGGAAGCUAUUGUAUAAUCAUCCAGGUGAGGGAUGAUGGUAGCAAGAAUCUUGAUGGUAGUGGAGUGUAAAAAUAAUUGGAUGCUGGAUAUAUUUUCACGGUACAGCUAAUGUGAUUUGUUGUUGGAUUGGUUGUGGAGUGUGAGAGGAUGAGAGGAAUGCAGGGCAACUUCUAGAUUUGGUUGCUGAAUAGCCAGAAUAACAUGGUGGCAAAUUCAUGGUGGGGCCAGUAUUCCAAACCAAGCCUACUGGGCGCGGGUUCUCUACUUCCUGCUCUAUACAGUCUUGCCUCCUGGGCACCACACAACCUUCCACAACACUGUGCUGUGGUAAAAGUUUGCACUCCAAGGCAAAGAACAAAAUGUCAGAAUAUUGCCUUCCAUUGAGUUGGAACCUUUUUAGAUCAAAUCAGUCAUAGUGUCUGAAAGGGUGUUCUUUUGGUCAUUUCUGAUAUUUAAAAGAUGCUUACUAGAAUCCAGGUGAUUCAUCUCUAGAAUUCUGGACUCACUUGUUGGGAAUGAUUGAACUGGACCAUUACUCCAGAAAGUCUUAUAUUUCUGUUUUUGGUGACUACACUCUCUGUGUGAGAGUUUUGCUGUGUUUUUUGUUCAUCCAUCACUUUCUGUGCCUUAUAAUGAAAACAGUGAAGACAAAUGUGCUAUUUAUAAUUUUCUUCCUGGAGUCAUUUCAAUUAAAAAUUAAUUAAAUGUCUUCACAUCAUAAUUUUAAAGUAUUCUAUCAGCAAUGGUGAGACAACAUAAAAGCUGUAAGAAUCCCCAAGUCUAAAAUAAACUUAUGCAAAUACCUUUUCAAAAUGCCACUGUGUGCAUAGACAGCAUUACUUAAACAUGGUUAGUACUUUUAUGUCUUUAUUAAUUUUAUUAAAGUAUAGAAAGGAAGACUUGGGAUUAAGGGGUAUUCAGGGAAGACAUUUGCAAAGUGUUAGAGUAUAGCAUGGUAGGGGCUGUUGAGGUUUCUUUGCUUUAGAACCACUGGUUCUCACAUUUUGGUGCCUACCAGGAAACACUUGAACUGGUAAAGUGCAUGAAGGCCUGGGUUCACUGAAGUAGGAUAUGGACUGGGUCUUUCAUAUUUUUGUUUGGUUCCCUGGGUGAUUUUGAAUACCCAUGAAAAUGUGAGAGCUACUGCUUUAGAGGACCACACUUCCUUAGUAUUUUGAGUCAGUGAUUCUGGAUUCUGAACAUGACACACCAGGAGGUAAAAUCUGUUCUGCUCAAUGCUUUGGGUGCCUUAGGUGUGAUAUCCAACUCCCGCCUUCCAGGAAUAUGAUGUCUGAAAAUGGCUGAAGUCAGCAGGGGUCCCAAACAUUUCAUACCUAGAAACACCUAGGUAUGACACUCUUUCCUUAGAAACUGAGCUGUGGAAUUCUGGAGUUCCAUUGAUAAGACCGCAAAUGUGUGGAUUUGCAGGUGACAUAUUGGUUUGCACCAAAGCAAUUCUCUUAUUUCUCUGCCAAAUGCAUCUUUCCCUAUAGGGGCCCCCAAGUCUAUUUUUCUGCCAAGAAACCCACGGUGGUUAUAAGUGAGGGAAGGGAAGGCUGUGUGGACUAACUCCAACGUUAGAGAUGAAGUCCUCCCUAAUGAAAGGCAGCAGGAGAUACAAAUCUAAAGUCAGGGGAGACAGGGUUACUGCAGGAUUUAGACUAUUUUAAUUCCACAUUUUAUUUCCAUUGUGGGAGAGAAAGACAUCCUUGAACUUCCCAAUAAUAGUAACUGUUAAAAAGUGCUAAGUAUUGUCCCAAAAGCAUUCUGGACAAUAUUUUAAUUAUCCUCAUAAACUCAACUGAAGAUUCAGUAUUAUGCUCAUUUCACAGAAGAGGAAAUGGAGGUACAGAGAACCUGCCCAAGGCCAUGCCAGCCUGUUACGGGAGCUAAGACCCAAACCCAGGCUGACUGGUUGCAAAGUAUAUAAUUUUAACCAUUAUGCUCUGCUGUCUUUCAACCUAGCAGGAUUUAUGCCCCUCUACCCCACUCCAUUAUGCAGGCCUAGGAAUCAUAAAUGGGAGUGAUACAGAGAGACGAAUACUCCAAGGCAGCCCUUCAGACAAUUGAGGUGUCUGGUGUCAGGCAAGACAACUGGGGGCUCCUGGGAGCCCUCCCUUGUCUGAGAAACAAGGUCCAGGGUGGGAUGAGGGUGGGGGUGGGGGCAUGCAGGGAGGUGGUCAGCUGGAACACAGUGGCACAGCUGAACUUGUUCCUUAUAGGUGGCAUCCAUUGUGACUGGGCAGUGCCUGCAGCAUACCAGUCCUUGAAUGUUCUGUAUGUCACUCCUGGGUGUAUGUUCUUCUCCCUGAGAACCAUUGUUGGCUUGAAGAUAGGCCCCUGAAUUAUCAUGGACCUUCUUCUAGGACAGAAGAGAGAGGCCAGUUGUUCAGUGGGCCGUCAAGUGCUGCUGACAAGUGGCAAGCUGUGAGCUACUGGGAAGCCUUGAGUUGUGGAGUGGGAAUGGUGGAGGGUAGAGGUGGUUCAGUGGAUAGGAUGAACACCAUGAUCCCCAGGGCAAGAUUUCUAAAACUUGAGUAAUAUAAGGAUCCCUUCUAAGGGAAAAAUAUUACAGCAUAUCUCCAGUAUAAAAUUUAUUCUUAUUAUAGUAUUACUACUUAAGGCUCAAACGAAACAUUAAUUAUAAAUCUUUAUCUUUAUGAAUUAUAAAACUAAAUUUAACAAAAACAUAUGCAAAUGACAAUAACAAUAAAAUUCAAGUUAGUAGUACUGAUUUAAUGUGAUAGAUGCUGUUGCUUUGCUGAAACAGCCACACCUUGCAAUACAUCGAUGGCGUUGGCACUACAGGCUCUUUGGAUGCAGGACCUCCACUUCACAUGUGAUAGGAUGACUCGGUUAACCUUGUACAGUUUUCUACUGCAAGACCUUUGUUUGUCUGUGAAGUCCUUUGGCUCCCAUCAUAUGCAAAAAUGUUAUUGAUGAGUUAUGUCGAUCUCUGAAGAACUCCUUGGUGCCAAUGUGAUUGUGAUACAAACUUGGGUACAAUGUUGUAUGAUGGUUAUAAGUGGGUGAUUAUAUAGAUAAUAAAUAAUGGGCCUAUUUAGAUUUUUUUAGAUUGAUUUGGGAUUAUGUUCCACUGGGAAUUAAGCUCUUAUAAGAGCAGGGGCUUUGUUUUGCUCUCUGCUGUAUUCUCAGUGCUGAGCACAGUACCUAGAACAGCUCUGCCCAAUAGACAUAGAAUCCAACCAUAGGUAGGAGUCACAUAUGCAAUUUAGAAUUUUCUAGUAGCCACAUUUCAAACAGUGAAAGAACAGGUGGAAUCAACUUUAAUAUAUUUUAUUUAGCCCAAUAUAUUCAAAAUACUAUCAUUUUUAUGUGUAAUCAAUAUUCAAAUUAUUGAGAUAUUUUACAUUUUUCUAAGUUUCCAAAAUUUGGUAUGAAUUUUACAUUUAAAGCAUGCUCAAAUAAGGCUAGCCACCUUUCAAGUGCUCAAUCAUCACAUGUGGCUAGUGGCUACUGUAUUGAACAAUAUAGAUAUAAAAGAUAAUAGGUGCUAAAUAAACUUUAAAAAAUAUUGCUGUAUGAAGGAUAAAAAGAACUUUCAGGUCCUCAAACCUUCAAUCAUUCUGGUUUCAGUGAUUCUGAUGCUGUCUCUCAUAUUAUAGUGGGGAAGCAGCAAAAGAAGUGAUUCUAAACCUCUUCUCACUUGAAUAAAUGCAGUGGCAUCCUCCUACCCAGUCUCCUUGCAUGCAGCCUUGCUCCUUUGUAAUCAUUGCUACCCAGGACAGCUAGACUGCCUUUUCCUAAAAUGCAAAGCUUAAGUCCCUCCCUCAUUCAAAAACCCUCCAGUGGCUUCUCUUCAACAUUAAAAUAAAGUCCAGUUUCCUUAGCAUGGAUUGGAAGGCCUGUGAUGAUCGGGCCCUUAUAUUCUCUUCUGCUCUCCUUAAAGUCUCUGCCCCAUCCAGACUGGAUUUAUUCCUGUUUUUUUUUUCACAUGCUGCGUCAUGUGCCUGCAACAUUCCUUUCUGCUCCUCAUUCCUUGGCUAACUCCUCCAUAUCCAUCAAGUACAGGUUAAAAUGUCACUUCUAGGAAGCCCCCCCUGACCCCAUGGACUGUGUAGCUCUCCGAUUCUUGCUGCUGUGUACUGCCCUAGUUAAAUAUUCCUCACUCGCACAUCCCACAUCAGAACCCUCUUUUCAGGAACUGUGCCUCCUACUUUUUGGGAACUGGGAUAACUAAGGAGAAAGACAAAGGCUGACUUGGAUUGUAGAGGACUGGUAGAUUUUAUUAUCACAAAGUGUGGCAGAAGUCUUGGGAGAAAGGAAAUGGACAUUUUCUACCUAGUUAAAAAUGUUAUGCUGGCCAGGCGUGGUGGCUCACGCUUGUAAUCCCAGCACUUUGGGAGGCUGAGGCGGGCGGAUCACGAGGUCAGGAGAUCGAGACCAUCCUGGCCAACACGGUGAAACCCUGUCUCUACUAAAAGUACAAAAAAAUUAGUCAGGCGUGGUGGUGGGCGCCUGUAGUCCCAGCUACUCGGGAGGCUGAGGCAGGAGAAUGGCGUGAACCCUGGAGGUGGAGCUUGCAGUGAGUCGAGAUCAUGCCACUGCACUCCAGCCUGGGUGACAGAGCAAGACUGUCUUAAAAAAAAAAAAAAGUUAUGCUAAGGCUUAAGUAAAUUGCAGAAAUCCCAUUCUUCCUAUCACCAUGUGGACCAGGGAAUUAUUCCAGUUAAGGUCAGCUGGCCCCUGUGUCUUUUUUCAAUUGGGAGAUGUGAGUUUUGGAAAACUUGUGGCUCCUCUGUCCUUGAGUAUUGAGGGUUCCUCCUAGGUCCUCCCCCUCAUCAAUUAAAAUGACUCACAUAGCAAUGAUAUUUAGCAUACAUAUCAACUAGAACAGUGGUUCUGAACCAGAGGAACAUCUCAAAAUCACCAGGGAGUUUUGCUAAAAUACAGCUGUUACAUAUCUGCUCUCCCCUACUCCCCCUCUAGGCCCAUGAAUCAGAAUCUCUCAGGAUGGGGGCCAGCAAUAUGUACUAUGUGUGGGCUUCUCAGUCAACUGAUAUUUCAUCUCUGGUUAAGAAUUAUUGAGCCAGGGUAAGAGAAGAGCAAAGUAGUCUAAAACCAGAGGCUUUGCAGAUUAUGAUGGGUGGUUUCUUAAGGCAAUGUAGAUGGCUGGGGGUAAUAUUUCCUAUUCUAGGAGCACAGUCUGGAAGAACUAUUAGUGUGGGAAUGGAUAGCUGGUAUUGAAAGGCAAGAGAAUUCUGAACCCAACUGAUCAGGCUUUAUUUGUUCCUUGUGCAACUCAUAAUCUUAAGUUUUUAUUAUUGCACAGCUGCCAAUUUGAUUUUUCAAUGCAAAUAAAAGUCUGAUGUGUUAUGACACUUUGCAUUUGUUCACUGUAUCUAUUAAAGGAUGAAAUAGUUUAUUAAAAAUUGUUCUCAAACCACAUUCAAACACCUGUUGAUAAGGACAAGUUAGCAGAGUAUAAUGUGAUAUUUCAUCAUCUAUUGGCCGUGGGGCUUUAGAGGUGAGGUUUAAAAGUAGCACCAGUAUAUUUGGGAUGUGGGGAUUGAGGGAGACAUAGUGUUGCCCACCAUAAUAUUUUACAUUUUUUCAACACAUACUUAGUGAGGGCAUGUGAUGUGCCAGAUCUGGUUUCUAGCCGUGGAAACAAAGACCCAAAUCCAUGCCUUCACAGAGCUUACAUUUUAAUGGAAAAAAAAUAAAUGAAUAAAUAA